UCGGUAAAUUCGUAAGCAGAAAUUUAGGGUUCAUCAUGAAUCCCGUCUAUAAAUUUUUGCUGAAUCGCAGGUUUUCAAUUAUCAUCCCUGCAACGAUUUUCUCCUACUUCUUCUUCAAAUUUGUUUCCGGUUUUUUCUUAUUUUUACUCUCUUCACCUUCAAUCGGAGAGAUGCGUUUGAGUUCUUGAAUCGUAAGCUGUUUUUCUUUCUAUUUUAACAUUUCGAUGAAAUGGGUUAUUCUGAAUUGGCUCUAUCAUCGAGUCAGCAGCAGGCGCCGUUUUAAUGGCGAUCCGUCUGCCGCAUGGAGCCGAUAUUUAGUUACCGGAAGAAGAUCCUUGAAACUUAAUCGUUUCAAGAUACAAUGUCCGGUCGACAUUCUUUAAAUUUUAACCCCGUCAUCUGCAAUUUUGGAUAUUUUUUUUAGGUUUUUGAAAUUGUAUGGAAAGAAAUUUUGUAUAAUUAGGGUUUGAAUUGGCAUUAAAUUCAGACACGGGUGUUUGUACUUUAAUCUUCCAACAAACAACCUUUUGCACGGUGCCUAUAUUGAGCUACUGAACACGAUUGGGGGAAUCUAUCAUUCUAUGUGGUAUCCUUCAAAUUUUAAGCAGCGAAAUUUUUAUUCAUUUCCAACUUUUUAAACUAUUUUAUUUUAAACUUUAGAAUUAUUCUUUGAUCAUACACUAUCUUUUCUUUAUUUAGCUUAGUGAAAGUGUUUUUGUGUUACAGAAGUUGAUUUGCAAAUCUGCAUAUUUGUUAGAAUGUUUCUUUAACAUAAAUAAAGCGACUUUAUCCUUCAAUUUGUGCGAAUCCUUGUUGAUAUUAACUGUGGAUUUGUGAUUUAUGUAGUGCGCCAAGCGUUUCCUGUUGGAACAAUCCAGGUUGUGGAGGUUUCAGGAGAGAUGAGAAACGAGAAACGACCAACCCUUGAACAUAAUUGGUAUGAUAUCAAUCUGGGUUGUAAUUGUUGUAGGUAUACAUGAAGUUUAGAUGCUGUAAAAAUCUUAAGAAUUUGAUGUCUUUAUUGACGACCAAGGCAGAUAUGGAACCUGUAAUAUUCAUUUAUAAUUUGCAAUAUCAUGUAUAUUUAUUUGAAAAUGAAUUUUAUAAAUACCAAACAAAAUAUAUUGGCAUAAUCCUUAGACAGUAA